GGGCGAAUAGCUCAGAUGGUGAGAGUACCUGCCUUACACGCAGGGGGUCACAGGUUCGAGUCCUGUUUCGCCCA
rnacentral:tRNA from 1 species